rnacentral:rRNA from 1 species
GACGAACGCUGACGGCGUGCCUAAUACAUGCAAGUCGAGCGCAGGAAACUGACGGAACUCUUCGGAGGGAAGGCAGCGGAAUGAGCGGCGGACGGGUGAGUAACACGUAAGGAACCUGCCUCAAGGAUUGGGAUAACUCCGAGAAAUCGGAGCUAAUACCGGAUAGUUCAUCGGACCGCAUGGUCCGUUGAUGAAAGGCGCUCCGGCGUCACCUUGAGAUGGCCUUGCGGUGCAUUAGCUAGUUGGUGGGGUAACGGCCCACCGAGGCGACGAUGCAUAGCCGACCUGAGAGGGUGAUCGGCCACACUGGGACUGGGACACGGCCCAGACGCCUACGGGAGGCAGCAGUAGGGAAUCUUCCACAAUGGACGAAAGUCUGAUGGAGCAACGCCGCGUGAGUGAUGAAGGUUUUCGGAUCGUAAAACUCUGUUGUAAGGGAAGAACACGUACGAGAGGGAAUGCUCGUACCUUGACGGUACCUUACGAGAAAGCCACGGCUAACUACGUGCCAGCCGCCGCCGUAAGAC